CCAAUACAGAUGAUAAAAAAUGGGUGAACAAGGAAGGAUGUGGCUAAAAUCCUGCUCCUCUGGGAGCAAAGCAUCCCUCCUUCUUAGGAUUCACAUUUCUAAAUGCUGCUGUGGAGCUCAGGAGCCAGGGAUCAGCUCAACAAUGAAUCUAGACCAUUUCUUUUUUUCACAGCUGAAAAAAUAACAUUUCCUCCUCAUUUGUCACUACUGACAGCGCAUUAGUUACAGCAAUUGUUUUGGAUCAAGGCUGUCACUGCUCUUUCUUCUUCAUAGGUCUUUUGGAAGGAUCAAAUCUGGCCCUGUAGCAUCACUGAGUGGGAGAAAGGGAGUCUUGGACACCAGGGAAUGCUUAAUAUGAUCCAGAUGAAGCUAAAAAUAGCCCUUCCAGAACAACCCCUGUGUGCUCAGUUUUCAGCUGGUGUGGCUGGUUUUGCCUGUAGGCUGUCUCAGUAGUGGUAGCUGUCCUUCCAGCCCCUCCAUCCACCCUCCCACACAGGUCCUACACAAACCACAGAUGAGCUGAGGAUGGGAGGCACCUCUCAGGUGCGCUAUAAGCAGGACAGACAGUGGUGUGGGAUAAAAGACAGGGAACAGCCAUGUUUCAUUCAGGGGGCUGAGUGGAAGAAUGUUUAAUUUGUGUCAGGGCACAGGGAUGAUUUAACUGCUGGGUUUCUCAGUGCUCCCAAAACUGAGGCAGCUGGAACUGAUGACCAAAGCUGAGGCACCUGGAGAACACCAAUACAGACUUGACUCCAUUAAUACAACAGUGAAGCCUUUAUAAAUACUGAUAUGCAAUUUAGGAUGAACCUAGAUGAUUUAAGUUUUUAUUUUAGGAUUUUUCUCUCCAUUUGUGAUGUUGAGCAAGCUGGGAUACCUGUUGCUUGACCUGUCUUCCAUUUUUACACCGAGAUGAUAAAAGUUACGUACCCACUGAGAUAUGGAGACUGUGAAGUGUUCUGGCCAGCAGUGAAAAGGAGUAAAGCAGCUGUGGAUGGAUGUGCACACCGAUGUCCUUCCCUCUGGCUCAUCCUCGUCCUUUGCUGUGCCCCUUCUGCACACCAGAGAGCAGCACUCUGGUUUGCCUGUGAGGUCCCACCAGCCUGCUCACCCAUCCUCCAUGCUGGAGUAUCACUAAGGGAAAAUUUUAUAUCUCUCUGUAGUCCUCUUUUUAUUAUGAUAGAAAACAUUAUCAUAUUGUUUCCUCUGAUAGCUUUUAUAUGAUAGUUUUGACUGGUUUUGUAUAUUUCUAAUAAUUGCAACUGGUGUCUGGCUCCUUUCUAAUAAUAAGAAAAGUAUGUACAGUGACAUAACAAUCCAAAGAAUUCCACAAAUUAUUUCUUUUUCCCUGAAAUUCUGAAGUAAAAUACAAUACUAAAGGUCUCGGUUUAUUUUCUAUCACUUACCCUGCACCUGCAGUCCUACAAAGGGAUGCUUUGGAUAAUGGUAUUUUAUCCCUCAGCCUACUGCAUGUUUUAGUUCUCAGUGCUUCCAGUGAUUCCCAGUUUGGCUUGAGGUUUUGGGUUGGUUUUGGUGGGGUGAUUCUUUUUAGGGUUUUUUUUUUUUUUUUAAUUGCUGCCAUGAGGAUUUCUGAGGUGAGAAAAUUUUCUGCAUAAUAGAGCACAUGUCCACCUUUUCCUUGGCUGUCUUCCUCUGUUAAAAAAUUUCCUAUGGUCUUCAGGAGUGCCCUGGACUACAGUGACACUACUGUUAUUUUCAUUAUGAUAUCACAGAAGAGCCCUAGUCAUGCAUUGCACCACAAACUCAUUUAUGCAAGGACAAAAUUCCUGAUCUAGCUCCAAAAUUGUAUUAACAUUUACACAGGCCAAAUUCUAAAAUUAUUUUUAAAUGGUUUUGUUUAUAAACUGGGCUCUAAAAACCUCUAGUCUUGGGUCAUAACAUGGUAUAGG
ensembl:lncRNA